UAUAUCAAGCCAGCCCUUCCACAUCGUC
rnacentral:sRNA from 1 species